CCUACGGGAGGCAGCAGUAGGGAAUAUUGCUCAAUGGGGGAAACCCUGAAGCAGCAACGCCGCGUGGAGGAUGAAGGUUUUCGGAUUGUAAACUUCUUUUGUUAGAGAAGAUAAUGACGGUAUCUAACGAAUAAGCACCGGCUAACUCCGUGCCAGCAGCCGCGGUAAUACGGAGGGUGCAAGCGUUACUCGGAAUCACUGGGCGUAAAGAGCGCGUAGGCGGGAUAGCAAGUCAGAUGUGAAAUCCUAUGGCUUAACCAUAGAACUGCAUGUGAAACUGUUAUUCUAGAGUAUGGGAGAGGUAGGUGGAAUUCUUGGUGUAGGGGUAAAAUCCGUAGAGAUCAAGAGGAAUACUCAUUGCGAAGGCGACCUACUAGAACAUAACUGACGCUGAUGCGCGAAAGCGUGGGGAGCAAACAGGAUUAGAUACCCUUGUAGUC
rnacentral:rRNA from 1 species